rnacentral:rRNA from 1 species
AAAGGGUGCGUAGGCGGCCUGUUAAGUCAGAGGUGAAAGACGGUAGCUCAACUAUCGCAGUGCCUUUGAUACUGAUGGGCUUGAAUUGACUAGAGGUAGGCGGAAUGUGACAAGUAGCGGUGAAAUGCAUAGAUAUGUCACAGAACACCGAUUGCGAAGGCAGCUUACUAUGGUCUUAUUGACGCUGAGGCACGAAAGCGUGGGGAUCAAACAGGAUUAGAUACCCUGGU